GGGUAUCAAUAUGGAGGGCGGGCUGGACCUCUCGGGGUUACAGCCUUGCUGAAUUAUUCACCCUUGUCUUUUGCGUACUUCUUGUUUCCUUGGUGGGUUCGCCCACCACUAGGACAAACAUAAACCUUUUGUAAUUGCAAUCAGCGUCAGUAACAAAUUAAUAAUUACAACUUUCAACAACGGAUCUCUUGGUUCUGGCAUCGAUGAAGAACGCAGCGAAAUGCGAUAAGUAGUGUGAAUUGCAGAAUUCAGUGAAUCAUCGAAUCUUUGAACGCACAUUGCGCCCUUUGGUAUUCCAAAGGGCAUGCCUGUUCGAGCGUCAUUUGUACCCUCAAGCUUUGCUUGGUGUUGGGCGUCUUGUCUCUAGCUUUGCUGGAGACUCGCCUUAAAGUAAUUGGCAGCCGGCCUACUGGUUUCGGAGCGCAGCACAAGUCGCACUCUCUAUCAGCAAAGGUCUAGCAUCCAUUAAGCCUUUUUUUCAACUUUUGACCUCGGAUCAGGUAGGGAUACCCGCUGAACUUAAGCAUAUCAAUAAGCGGAGGAACA
rnacentral:rRNA from 1 species